rnacentral:snRNA from 1 species
AUCUUUGCGCUUGGGGCAAUGACGCAGCUAGUGAGGUAAAACCGAGGCGCGUCAAUUGAUGGUUGAAAACUAUUUCCAACCCCCCUCGUCGGCCUGGGCCACGCCUUGGCCCUCGAGAAUUUUUGAAGGGCUCGCCAUUGGCUCGGGC